UAAAAUAAUUAACAAUCGUCAAAGACCGUAGGAGCAGAUUUUGCUUAAUUUCCUACGCAGGCGGUAAAGUCCUUAAUUUUAUUUUAAAGGAUGGCCCCGUUAGGGUGCCCUUUUUGGGUUUUAUA
rfam:Cycloclasticus sp. P1, complete genome.